rnacentral:rRNA from 1 species
CUGCAGCUCAAGUGGUGACCGCUAUUAUUGGGCCUAAAACGUUCGUAGCCGGCUGAGUAAAUGCUUGGGUAAAUCGUGCCGCUUAACGGUACGAAUUCCGGGUAGACUACUCAGCUUGAGACCGGGAGAAGCUAGAGGUACUCCUGGGGUAGAGGUGAAAUUCUGUAAUCCUGGGGGGACCACCAGUGGCGAAGGCGUCUAGCUAGAACGGAUCCGACGGUAAGGGACGAAACCCUGGGGCGCGAACCGGAUUAGAUACCCGAGUAGUCC